CAGUCCAGUCCAGUCUGACAAGUUUGGACUGGACUGGAUUGGACUCUGGACUUUUCGUAGUCCGCUUACACCCCUAACGUUGACAAGAAAGGAUGGCAGUAUCUCGCCAUUGUCAAAGCUAACGAGGAGGAAGUCUCUCACCCUGCUCCAUGUCUAAGAAUGACCGGAUUGAGAAGAGGGGAAGGAAGACAGGAGAGAGAGAAAGAGAUAGCAUCAAAUUUCUGCAUUUGGUUUGAUGAUUAUCUUCAGGAAUUGGAUUAGCGGAAUGAAAUAUAUGCAAAGCAUAGUAAGGAGAAGUGUGAACUUUCCAGAUUACAUAAGGAAUGAAGACUUCUUCUAGGUAAAGAUCAUAUAAUUUAAGAUUAGUAGAAGGAAGCAAAUUAUCAUAUUUACCAAUCAAAUAUGGUAAUGAUAUACAUGUCAUGUAAGUAUUUUGUUUAUCUAUAAAAUAGUUUUUCAAUGUUAUAUAUAAGUGAAUAUAUAUAAUGCUCAUUUCUAUUCAAAAUUCAUUCCAAUCCAAAAGUUGUUUAUUCACAC